AGGGGUCAAAUGCUCACCCCGACUCUCAGGGGUUCUAAUGGCCUGGGGAUCAAAAGGGAACAUAUGCAGUGAGCUUGUCUAACUGGAGAGAAAAUAUCGCUGGGGAAAAAAAAACAUGGAGGAAUGAAAGACUGAGUUUACAUUUUCAUGGGGGAUGAGUGAG